rnacentral:rRNA from 1 species
UACGUAGGGUGCGAGCGUUAAUCGGAAUUACUGGGCGUAAAGCGUGCGCAGGCGGUUUUGUAAGUCUGUCGUGAAAUCCCCGGGCUCAACCUGGGAAUGGCGAUGGAGACUGCAAGGUUAGAAUCUGGCAGAGGGGGGUAGAAUUCCACGUGUAGCAGUGAAAUGCGUAGAGAUGUGGAGGAACACCGAUGGCGAAGGCAGCCCCCUGGGUCAAGAUUGACGCUCAUGCACGAAAGCGUGGGGAGCAAACAGG